GAGAUCAUAGAGAAACCAUUCUUAACCCAGCCUAAGAGUGAAGGCUAUGUCUCUGGAACCUCCUAAAGAAGCUUCAUGCAAGAACUGUGUUUUAAUGGACAUGUGACUAGCAAAAUACUUCAACACAGUAUUUUGGUCACUGCACUGGCCUUUAGAAGCAUCAGACAUUGUGGAAUGUCAGAAGUAACUUCCUUGACUCUGAAGGAUGGUGACUUUUGGGACUAGAAGAACCAAAGGUAGUGCUGGGAGACUUCUAUAAAUGUACAAGUCAACAAUGGGCGAUGCGUUUCACGUCAGGAGCAUAAGAGGAAACAAUGAUUGGGACUUUGUUCUCCAGCAGAAUGUAAAGAUGGCUUAUCCUUUAAACCUCAACUUCAGUCUCCUGGUGAAAAUAGAUUGCCGCCAUGAAUUUUUGAUGCACAAGUCAUAAAUGUUUGAAAACUAUAAACUGUGUGAAAUACAUGCCUAGAGGGUCGGUUAUAUCCUGCAUCG